rnacentral:rRNA from 1 species
CAAGUCGAGCGAGAACCGUAGCAAUACGGGGACAGCGGCGAACGGGACAGUAAUGUGUAGGUACCUACCCCUGGGACCGGGAUAGCUGCGGGAAACUGCAGGUAAUACCGGAUAACGUCUCAGGACCAAAGGUGUGAUUCCACCUGGGGAGGGGCCUGCAUCCUAUUAGCUAGUUGGUGGGGUAACGGCUCACCAAGGCAACGAUGGGUAGCGGGUGUGAGAGCACGACCCGCGUCAUUGGGACUGAGAUACUGCCCAGACACCUACGGGUGGCUGCAGUCGAGGAUCUUCGGCAAUGGGGGAAACCCUGACCGAGCGACGCCGCGUGUGGGAUGAAGGCCCUCGGGUUGUAAACCACUGUCAACGGGGAGGAAAUGCAGGAGGGUUCUCCCUCCUGUUUGACCUAUCUGUGGAGGAAGUACGGGCUAAGUUCGUGCCAGCAGCCGCGGUAAGACGAACCGUACAAACGUUACUCGGAAUUACUGGGCUUAAAGGGUGCGUAGGCUGCGCGGAAAGUUGGGUGUGAAAGCCUUCAGCUCAACUGAGGAAUUGCACUCAAAACUACCGUGCUCGAGGGAGACAGAGGUAAGCGGAACUCAAGGUGGAGCGGUGAAAUGCGUUGAUAUCUUGAGGAACACCGGUGGCGAAGGCGGCUUACUGGGUCUCUUCUGACGCUGAGGCACGAAAGCUAAGGUAGCAAACGGGAUUAGAUACCCCGGUAGUCUUAGCUGUAAACGAUGAGCACUUGUUUGAAGGGUCCUCCAUAGCCUUCCAGACGUAGCGAAAGUGUUAAGUGCUCCGCCUGGGGAGUAUGGUCGCAAGGCUGAAACUCAAAGAAAUUGACGG